UCAAUCUCUAUAGGAGUCGUCUUCAUCAAACCUAUGGUAAUGGUAGAGAUGAUGUGCCACCUCAAUCAGAUGUUUAAGUGUUUAAGUUAAUUUCUUAAUCAAUGAAUUAUUCCUAAGGGUUAGGUUUUCAGAGUACAAGACUUUAUCAUGGCAAUUCAAUGGCACCGAAGAGUAGAAAUCCCUAGCUCCCAAAUCUUCAAAGCCAGCUAAAUCUGGUGGUGGAAACAAAAGAAG